AACCUAUGGUGAGGACAUCUCCUUAAUAAAUCCUUAUACCUGUCCCAGGCCUCAUACAAGGUUUCAAAAUCAAGUUGCAUAAAAGAAGUGAUAUCAUUACACAACUU
rnacentral:snoRNA from 1 species